rnacentral:rRNA from 1 species
UACGUAGGGGGCAAGCGUUGUCCGGAAUCAUUGGGCGUAAAGAGCGUGUAGGCGGCCAGGUAGGUCGGUUGUGAAAACUGGAGGCUUAACCUUCAGACGUCGACCGAAACCAUCUGGCUAGAGUCCGGAAGAGGAGAGUGGAAUUCCUGGUGUAGCGGUGAAAUGCGCAGAUAUCAGGAAGAACACCCGUGGCGAAGGCGGCUCUCUGGGACGGUACUGACGCUGAGACGCGAAAGCGUGGGGAGCAAACAGG